AUUGAACGCUGGCGGCGUGCUUAACACAUGCAGGUCGAGCGAGAGAAAUUCCUUCGGGAAGGACUCUAGCGGCGGACGGGUGAGUAACACGUGGGUAACCUGCCUCAUAGAGGGGAAUAGCCUUUCGAAAGGAAGAUUAAUACCGCAUAAGAUUGUAGUAUCGCAUGAUGCAGCAAUUAAAGGAGUAAUCCGCUAUGAGAUGGACCCGCGUCGCAUUAGCUAGUUGGUGAGGUAACGGCUCACCAAGGCGACGAUGCGUAGCCGACCUGAAAGGGUGAUCGGCCACAUUGGGACUGAGACACGGCCCAGACUCCUACGGGAGGCAGCAGUGGGGAAUAUUGCACAAUGGGGGAAACCCUGAUGCAGCAACGCCGCGUGAGUGAUGACGGUCUUCGGAUUGUAAAACUCUGUCUUCAGGGACGAUAAUGACGGUACCUGAGGAGGAAGCCACGGCUAACUACGUGCCAGCAGCCGCAGUAA
rnacentral:rRNA from 1 species